GGUUAAGCGACUAAGCGUACACGGUGGAUGCCCUGGCAGUCAGAGGCGAUGAAGGACGUGCUAAUCUGCGAUAAGCGUCGGUAAGGUGAUAUGAACCGUUAUAACCGGCGAUUUCCGAAUGGGGAAACCCAGUGUGUUUCGACACACUAUCAUUAACUGAAUCCAUAGGUUAAUGAGGCGAACCGGGGGAACUGAAACAUCUAAGUACCCCGAGGAAAAGAAAUCAACCGAGAUUCCCCCAGUAGCGGCGAGCGAACGGGGAGCAGCCCAGAGCCUGAAUCAGUAUGUGUGUUAGUGGAAGCGUCUGGAAAGGCGCGCGAUACAGGGUGACAGCCCCGUACACAAAAAUGCACAUGCUGUGAGCUCGAUGAGUAGGGCGGGACACGUGGUAUCCUGUCUGAAUAUGGGGGGACCAUCCUCCAAGGCUAAAUACUCCUGACUGACCGAUAGUGAACCAGUACCGUGAGGGAAAGGCGAAAAGAACCCCGGCGAGGGGAGUGAAAAAGAACCUGAAACCGUGUACGUACAAGCAGUGGGAGCACGCUUAGGCGUGUGACUGCGUACCUUUUGUAUAAUGGGUCAGCGACUUAUAUUCUGUAGCAAGGUUAACCGAAUAGGGGAGCCGAAGGGAAACCGAGUCUUAACUGGGCGUUAAGUUGCAGGGUAUAGACCCGAAACCCGGUGAUCUAGCCAUGGGCAGGUUGAAGGUUGGGUAACACUAACUGGAGGACCGAACCGACUAAUGUUGAAAAAUUAGCGGAUGACUUGUGGCUGGGGGUGAAAGGCCAAUCAAACCGGGAGAUAGCUGGUUCUCCCCGAAAGCUAUUUAGGUAGCGCCUCGUGAAUUCAUCUCCGGGGGUAGAGCACUGUUUCGGCAAGGGGGUCAUCCCGACUUACCAACCCGAUGCAAACUGCGAAUACCGGAGAAUGUUAUCACGGGAGACACACGGCGGGUGCUAACGUCCGUCGUGAAGAGGGAAACAACCCAGACCGCCAGCUAAGGUCCCAAAGUCAUGGUUAAGUGGGAAACGAUGUGGGAAGGCCCAGACAGCCAGGAUGUUGGCUUAGAAGCAGCCAUCAUUUAAAGAAAGCGUAAUAGCUCACUGGUCGAGUCGGCCUGCGCGGAAGAUGUAACGGGGCUAAACCAUGCACCGAAGCUGCGGCAGCGACACUAUGUGUUGUUGGGUAGGGGAGCGUUCUGUAAGCCUGUGAAGGUGUGCUGUGAGGCAUGCUGGAGGUAUCAGAAGUGCGAAUGCUGACAUAAGUAACGAUAAAGCGGGUGAAAAGCCCGCUCGCCGGAAGACCAAGGGUUCCUGUCCAACGUUAAUCGGGGCAGGGUGAGUCGACCCCUAAGGCGAGGCCGAAAGGCGUAGUCGAUGGGAAACAGGUUAAUAUUCCUGUACUUGGUGUUACUGCGAAGGGGGGACGGAGAAGGCUAUGUUGGCCGGGCGACGGUUGUCCCGGUUUAAGCGUGUAGGCUGGUUUUCCAGGCAAAUCCGGAAAAUCAAGGCUGAGGCGUGAUGACGAGGCACUACGGUGCUGAAGCAACAAAUGCCCUGCUUCCAGGAAAAGCCUCUAAGCAUCAGGUAACAUCAAAUCGUACCCCAAACCGACACAGGUGGUCAGGUAGAGAAUACCAAGGCGCUUGAGAGAACUCGGGUGAAGGAACUAGGCAAAAUGGUGCCGUAACUUCGGGAGAAGGCACGCUGAUAUGUAGGUGAAGUCCCUCGCGGAUGGAGCUGAAAUCAGUCGAAGAUACCAGCUGGCUGCAACUGUUUAUUAAAAACACAGCACUGUGCAAACACGAAAGUGGACGUAUACGGUGUGACGCCUGCCCGGUGCCGGAAGGUUAAUUGAUGGGGU
rnacentral:rRNA from 1 species